AGUAAAUAGAUACCCAGGUAGUCCACACCGUAAACGAUGUCGACUUGGAGGUUGUGCCCUUGAGGCGUGGCUUCCGGAGCUAAACGCGUUAAGUCGACCGCCUGGGGAGUACGGCCGCAAGGUUAAAACUCAAAUGAAUUGACGGGGGCCCGCACAAGCGGUGGAGCAUGUGGUUUAAUUCGAUGCAACGCGAAGAACCUUACCUACUCUUGACAUCCAGAGAACUUAGCAGAGAUGCUUUGGUGCCUUCGGGAACUCUGAGACAGGUGCUGCAUGGCUGUCGUCAGCUCGUGUUGUGAAAUGUUGGGUUAAGUCCCGCAACGAGCGCAACCCUUAUCCUUUGUUGCCAGCGGUUAGGCCGGGAACUCAAAGGAGACUGCCAGUGAUAAACUGGAGGAAGGUGGGGAUGACGUCAAGUCAUCAUGGCCCUUACGAGUAGGGCUACACACGUGCUACAAUGGCGCAUACAAAGAGAAGCGACCUCGCGAGAGCAAGCGGACCUCAUAAAGUGCGUCGUAGUCCGG
rnacentral:rRNA from 1 species